rnacentral:rRNA from 1 species
GUCCACGCCGUAAACGAUGUCGAUUUGGAGGCUGUGUCCUUGAGACGUGGCUUCCGGAGCUAACGCGUUAAAUCGACCGCCUGGGGAGUACGGCCGCAAGGUUAAACUCAAAUGAAUUGACGGGGCCCGCACAAGCGGUGGAGCAUGUGGUUUAAUUCGAUGCAACGCGAAGAACCUUACCUGGCCUUGACAUGUCUGGAAUCCUGUAGAGAUACGGGAGUGCCUUCGGGAAUCAGAACACAGGUGCUGCAUGGCUGUCGU